rnacentral:rRNA from 17 species
UCAGUGCUCGACGAAAGCCUUCGCGGGUGGUGAGAAUCGCCGUGGACAGCAGAUAAAAGUGCACGGUUGGAACGCCGAACUCCUCCGGCGUGAGU